rnacentral:rRNA from 1 species
CAGCCGCCGCGGUAAUACGGAGGGUGCUAGCGUUGUUCGGAAUCACUGGGCGUAAAGGGCGCGUAGGCGGCCUGUUAAGUCGGAUGUGAAAGCCCGGGGCUCAACCCCGGAACUGCAUCCGAGACUGGCAGGCUUGAGACCGGGAGAGGAGGGUGGAAUAUCCAGUGUAGAGGUGAAAUUCGUAGAUAUUGGAUGGAACACCGGUGGCGAAAGCGGCUCUCUGGCCCGGAUCUGACGCUGAGGCGCGAAAGCGUGGGGAGCAAACAGGAUUAGAUACCCGAGUAGUCCCUGUCUCUUAUAA